rnacentral:ncRNA from 1 species
GUUAGCCAAAGGCAAACUCAUUGAAAGAUGGGGACGCAAAGCCGCGGAUCUAAGGCAGGUUAGACUGCUAAGACAGCCGGGCUGCCGUA